rnacentral:rRNA from 1 species
GACGAACGCUGGCGGCGUGCCUAAUACAUGCAAGUCGAACGAACUCUGGUAUUGAUUGGUGCUUGCAUCAUGAUUUACAUUUGAGUGAGUGGCGAACUGGUGAGUAACACGUGGGAAACCUGGCCCAGAAGCGGGGGGAUAACACCUGGAAACAGAUGCUAAUACCGCAUAACAGGCUUGGACCGCAUGGUCCGAGUUUGAAAGAUGGCUUCGGCUAUCU